rnacentral:rRNA from 1 species
GACGAACGCUGGCGGCGUGCUUAACACAUGCAAGUCGAGCGGAAAGGCCCUUUCGGGGGUACUCGAGCGGCGAACGGGUGAGUAACACGUGAGUAAUCUGCCCCUGGCUUUGGGAUAGCCACCGGAAACGGUGAUUAAUACCGGAUACGACCACUUCUCGCAUGGGAUGGUGGUGGAAAGUUUUUCGGCCAGGGAUGUGCUCGCGGCCUAUCAGCUUGAUGGUGAGGUAAUGGCUCACCAUGGCUUCGCCGGGUGGCCGGCCUGAGAGGGUGACCGGUCACACUGGGACUGAGACACGGCCCAGACGCCUACGGGAGGCAGCAGUGGGGAAUAUUGGACAAUGGGCGGAAGCCUGAUCCAGCAACGCCGCGUGAGGGAUGACGGCCUUCGGGUUGUAAACCUCUUUCAGCAGGGACGAAGCGCAAGUGACGGUACCUGCAGAAGAAGCACCGGCCAACUACGUGCCAGCCGCCGCGGUAA